GUACUCCAUGAUCCCCUUCACGUGGAGAUUUCGAAAGUAGGUGGCCUCCGUGGUGGCUUCGGAAUGACUCUCCCUCAACCUGCGAAGCUCGCCUUCCGCCUUCUUCGAUCUUUUUGUUAAAUGGAGGACUUCCUUCUUCAGCCACUGGAUUAUAGACUUUAGCGAAAUCCCCUGAGGCAAGGGAAGCGCUUCGGCGGGAUGCUG
rnacentral:lncRNA from 1 species